UGUAACUGGGCUUUCAUAUUAAAUAGCAGAAAAAAUAAAAAUGUUUACAAGCCAUGUGCCUUAGUUUAACGGGCCUUGCCCAGAUUGAAACAUUCAUAUUUUAGAACUUUGAAAUAGUGAAAGAGCUUUUUCUAGCCCAGUAGAGGAGAGAUCAGUUUGGUGACGAUUGGGAAUGGAACAUAGUAGAUUUCUUCACUUAUGCAUGUCGAAUCCAGAGUUGCAGAGCUUGAGAGGCAAGAGUCGGGUGAGAGUGGCGCAGGGUUUGAAUCUUGUUUCGCAACUGGCGAUCGAUUAAAGAGAAGAGAGCAUCGAUAGAGCGGAAGCUGUUGGAAUGGAGUCUCCGAUUCCUUUCAUUCCACAUCCAAUAGAUCGUCGAUUGCCAAGCCCAGAGUGUGAGGAUCUUUUGAUGUUUAAGAGGCUUCUGGCUAGGGAGAGAUUUCAUCUGAUCCAGCGUUGCGGUCCAGUCUGCUAAGGGCAGGAAAUCACACCUUCGAGCAAUCUGCGACCAAAGAUCAUAACUGAAGGGGCAAUCCAUGAAAAGAUGAUUUCUUGUCUCUUCCCCGGAGUUGCAAAGGAGGCAAGUCUGUGAAACCUGAAGUCCCCAUCUCCUCAUUCUAUCUUUAGUAGGGGAUCUGUCAAGAACAAAAAGCCAAGUUAGAAAGUUGUGCCGCGGGAUACCAAAUUGUGUCCAAACAAUGGAUGCCCAGUCUACUUCAGCUAUCUCUCCUCUGAGAGCCGUAUACAUCUCGCCUGUUCUGUACACAGCAGUGGUAUUUGCCAAACCCCAUCGUUACAGAGUGAUGAUACUGUUACUUCAGGUGGAAUUCCAAGUCUGGAAGAACCGGAAUUCAGGAAAGUAGAGAGGCUUCCAAAAGGGGUCCAACUAUCGAAUCAAAACCUCGCUGAUAGUCCAUUCUCCAGAUGCAGUUUUAUGAAAGGGAAAGCGAUCUCCUUCAGUUUGAGCAGUUUAUUAGCGAGCCAAGAGAAAGAGGGGUUAGGUUUUGUUGUCCAGUAGUUGUGGAUAGAGCCUCUGAGGAUAGUGUCCCUGAACCAAGAUUGGGUCAGUUAGAUUGUGUAGUUUUUGCGAGGAUGAGAACUAGAAAGAGAGUGUGUAGUUUUUGUUUUUAUUUACUCGAUUUUUCAUUUUUUUCAAAAGGUUUGAAACAACAUAUACAAACACAAUGGAUUUAUAAAAACGAUUUGUCCCAUAAGUGAUGUAUGAUGAUUUAAGAGAUUUAGCGAUUUAGCAAAUAUUUUUCUUUAGAUUAGCCACUACCAAAAAUAUAUGAACAUAAUAUCUGAUU